UACGGAGGGGGUUAGCGUUGUUCGGAAUUACUGGGCGUAAAGCGUACGUAGGCGGAUUAGUAAGUUGGGGGUGAAAUCCCGGGGCUCAACCCCGGAACUGCCUCCAAAACUACUAGUCUUGAGAUCGUGAGAGGUGAGUGGAAUUCCGAGUGUAGAGGUGAAAUUCGUAGAUAUUCGGAAGAACACCAGUGGCGAAGGCGACUCGCUGGACAAGUAUUGACGCUGAGGUGCGAAAGCGUGGGGAGCAAACAGG
rnacentral:rRNA from 1 species